rnacentral:rRNA from 1 species
AGAGUUUGAUCCUGGCUCAGGAUGAACGCUAGCGGCAGGCCUAACACAUGCAAGUCGAGGGAGAGGUUACCUUCGGGUAACCAAAACCGGCGCACGGGUGCGUAACGCGUAUACAAUCUGCCUUUCACAUAGGGAUAGCCCGAAGAAAUUUGGAUUAAUACCUAAUGGUAUAUAAGAGCGGCAUCGUUUUUAUAUUAAAGCUACGGUGGUGAAAGAUGAGUAUGCGUUCUAUUAGCUAGUUGGAGAGGUAACGGCUCCCCAAGGCGACGAUAGAUAGGGGUUCUGAGAGGGAUGUCCCCCACACUGGUACUGAGAUACGGACCAGACUCCUACGGGAGGCAGCAGUGAGGAAUAUUGGACAAUGGUCGGAAGACUGAUCCAGCCAUGCCGCGUGCAGGAUGAAGGUCCUAUGGAUUGUAAACUGCUUUUGUAAGGGAAGAAUAAGGAGUACGUGUACUUUGAUGACGGUACCUUACGAAUAAGCAUCGGCUAACUCCGUGCCAGCAGCCGCGGUAAUACGGAGGAUGCGAGCGUUAUCCGGAAUCAUUGGGUUUAAAGGGUCUGUAGGCGGGCUGGUAAGUCAGAGGUGAAAGCGCUUAGCUCAACUAAGCAACUGCCUUUGAAACUGUUGGUCUUGAAUGGUUGUGAAGUAGUUGGAAUGUGUAGUGUAGCGGUGAAAUGCUUAGAUAUUACACAGAACACCGAUAGCGAAGGCAUAUUACUAACAAUUUAUUGACGCUGAUGGACGAAAGCGUGGGGAGCGAACAGGAUUAGAUACCCUGGUAGUCCACGCU